GAACGCUAGCGGCAGGCCUAACACAUGCAAGUCGAGGGGCAGCACGUCUUCGGAUGGUGGCGACCGGCGCACGGGUGCGUAACGCGUAUGCAACCUACCUCUUACAGUGGGAUAGCCCAGAGAAAUUUGGAUUAAUACCGCAUAGUAUGCGACAUCAGCAUUGAUGACGUAUUAAACAUUCAUGGGUAAGAGAUGGGCAUGCGUUCUAUUAGCUAGUUGGUGAGGUAAAGGCUCACCAAGGCGACGAUCCUUAGCUGGUCUGAGAGGAUGAUCAGCCACACUGGGACUGAGACACGGCCCAGACUCCUACGGGAGGCAGCAGUGGGGAAUAUUGCGCAAUGGGCGAAAGCCUGACGCAGCCAUGCCGCGUGUGUGAAGAAGGCCUUAGGGUUGUAAAGCACUUUCAAUUGGGAAGAAAAGUUGGUCGUUAAUAGCGGCCAGCCCUGACAUUACCUUUAGAAGAAGGACCGGCUAACUCCGUG
rnacentral:rRNA from 1 species